rnacentral:lncRNA from 1 species
UAAAAAAUUCAUGUAUAUGUUUGUUUCAUCUCUACAACUUGCACACACAAACCCAAAUUAUAACAUCUUUCAUAUUUCAAAAGCAAAUACAUAUAAAUCAUAUAUCUUUAAACGAAACGGUUAAAGUGACAAGUCGUGCGGUGGCAGCCGCCUAGACGCUUCAGCAACAACCACCGGUAGUGCUCUCUUUCCGGCCGUCGUUCUGACUCUUUUGGUAACGAAAGUAGAAAAGACAUAAGAUGAAUAUUAUCAAGAAUAUCACCGCAAUCACUAUGUCCAUAAUCUUCAAAGGAGUCAUCAGAUUUUGUUUUACUUGAGUUCUAUAUUAAGAUUUUGAUUCUUAUAGAGAAAUAAUAAUCUCUCUGUCUCUUGCUCUUUAUAGAUAUGUGUUCAUAUUAUAUACAAUAAGUUUUUUUGGAGGUUGUAUUUUUGAGACUUUGUAUUUGGAAGUUGUUUCGAUGACUUUUAUUUUUAAUUGUGAUAAUAAUUAAGGGAGUUGACAAAAAAAUGAUAAUAAUUGAGGGAAUUUAGGUUUGACAAAAUGUGCCACUAAACUAGUUGAGAAUUGUGAUUUAACCAUUCUAUCAACUUGUCUAAGUCUUUGGCUUGUAAAUUUCUUGUUAAAAAAUAUCCAGCAAUUUUAGAAUAUUUUAAUGGUUUGACAAUAUAUCAAUCAUAUAUAAGAGCAUGAAGUAAACUAAUUAACAAAAAUAAUUUCCUAAUUAGUGGUAUACAGUUGUAAUGGUUAAGGGAAUUUUAAUGGUUUGCAAACUUCACAUGGAUGGAAUUGGUUUUUAAAAUAUAAUAUUUAUUCAAUAUUUUCACUACGUAUCUAUAUUGCUCUAAAGUGCAUGUGUUUAUUUAUAAGUUAUCGGUUAUCUAUUGAAAAUAACAUGUGAAAACAAAAUAUGGGAUUAUAUAUACGGUCAUCAAAUCUUAUAAAAACUGCUAUGAGCAGAUUGUUAAACAAUGGUAGAUCCAUAACUUCAGAUAAUCCAUUAAUAAUUUGUGAUAUAUCGAACUCAUAAAAAAAAUGGAUAUUCAGAAGUAAACAUUUAAGUGUUAACUAGUAAUAAGAGAAUUUCAAUCAAUUUUCCCGGUUAAAUUUUCUGUGGAAACAACCUUAACUUCUACAUAUUGUAGUGUAGUACACAAGCACAUGUAUAGACGAUUUUGCAGAAGUACGAACUCAUAAACAAUCUAUGAUACUUCAGAACAAAUACAAUUCAACAAAGAACUUGUAUGGAUAAAUAUAUAUACAUAUCCCAGCAAAAGUAUUGAAAUCACAAGUUACCACGCACGGUAAGAUUAAAGUCAGCCGCCGAAAUCGCCACCGUAACCGCUGCCGAGACAGGCGAUGCUUUCCUUGCCAUCCUUCUUAGCUUUGUGGUAGAGAAAGUGAAUGAGCCAUAAGAUGAACAAAAACAAGAGAAAUGCCCCAAACACUAUGAACAGAAUCGCCACAGGACUCAUUUGAUUAACUUUUUUUAUGUUAAUUUCUUCUUAUCUGUGAAUUUUGUUUUUCACUCCUCAGAUAAGGAAACAACAAGAUGUACAUAUAUAUAGAGAUG